UACGGAGGAUGCAAGCGUUAUCCGGAUUCAUUGGGUUUAAAGGGUGCGUAGGCGGACUUGUAAGUCAGGGGUGAAAUCCGGCGGCUCAACCGUCGAACUGCCUCUGAUACUGCAGGUCUUGAGUCGGCAUGAAGCAGGCGGAAUAUGACAUGUAGCGGUGAAAUGCAUAGAUAUGUCAUAGAACACCGAUAGCGAAGGCAGCCUGCUAAAGCCGAACUGACGCUGAUGCACGAAAGCGUGGGUAGCGAACAGG
rnacentral:rRNA from 1 species